GACGACCUCUGGCGGCGUGCCUAACACAUGCAAGUCGAACGGAGAAUUUUAUUUCGGUAGAAUUCUUAGUGGCGAACGGGUGAGUAACGCGUAGGCAACCUACCCUUUAGACGGGGACAACAUUCCGAAAGGAGUGCUAAUACCGGAUGUGAUCAUCGUGCCGCAUGGCAGGAUGAAAAAAGAUGGCCUCUACAAGUAAGCUAUCGCUAAAGGAUGGGCCUGCGUCUGAUUAGCUAGUUGGUAGUGUAACGGACUACCAAGGCGAUGAUCAGUAGCCGGUCUGAGAGGAUGAACGGCCACAUUGGGACUGAGACACGGCCCAAACUCCUACGGGAGGCAGCAGUGGGGAAUCUUCCGCAAUGGACGAAAGUCUGACGGAGCAACGCCGCGUGAGUGAUGAAGGAUUUCGGUCUGUAAAGCUCUGUUGUUUAUGACGAACGUGCAGUGUGUGAACAAUGCAUUGCAAUGACGGUAGUAAACGAGGAAGCCACGGCUAACUACGUGCCAGCAGCCGCGGUAAUACGUAGGUGGCGAGCGUUGUCCGGCAUUAUUGGGCGUAAAGAGCAUGUAGGCGGCUUAAUAAGUCGAGCGUGAAAAUGCGGGGCUCAACCCCGUAUGGCGCUGGAAACUGUUAGGCUUGAGUGCAGGAGAGGAAAGGGGAAUUCCCAGUGUAGCGGUGAAAUGCGUAGAUAUUGGGAGGAACACCAGUGGCGAAGGCGCCUUUCUGGACUGUGUCUGACGCUGAGAUGCGAAAGCCAGGGUAGCGAACGGGAUUAGAUACCCCGGUAGUCCUGGCCGUAAA
rnacentral:rRNA from 1 species